rnacentral:rRNA from 1 species
UACGAAGGGUGCAAGCGUUAAUCGGAAUUACUGGGCGUAAAGCGUGCGCAGGCGGUUCGACAAGUCAGGUGUGAAAUCCCCGGGCUUAACCUGGGAAUUGCGCUUGAAACUAGCGGGCUUGAGUGUGGCAGAGGGGGGUGGAAUUCCACGUGUAGCAGUGAAAUGCGUAGAGAUGUGGAGGAACACCGAUGGCGAAGGCAGCCCCCUGGGUCAACACUGACGCUCAUGCACGAAAGCGUGGGGAGCAAACAGG